GACAGAGGUCCCGAGCGUUAGGCGGAAUCACUGGGCUUAAAGCGUGUGUAGGCGGAUUUGUAAGUACCUUGUGAAAUCCCACGGCUUAACCGUGGAACUGCUUGGUAUACUGCUUAUCUUGGGCCACUUAGGGGUUACCGGAACAAACGGUGGAGCGGUGAAAUGCGUAGAUAUCGUUUGGAACGCCAAUGGUGAAAACAGGUAACUGGGAGUGUGCCGACGCUGAGACACGAAAGCUGGGGGAGCAAACAGG
rnacentral:rRNA from 1 species